ensembl:lncRNA
CCUCAGGCUUCCUGUGGGCAGCUCUGGAGACACCAGAUUCUGUGCACAGAAGGACGGACUCUGGGAAGCUUGGCAGCUUCUGCCCUUGGGCCGGCAAAGCUGUCACAGUGUUCCCCACUGACCUCACGCUGCCCGGGACCUCCAAGCAGGCCUUCCUCAGGAUCAAUAGUCAAGCUGGUCAGCUGGCAACAUGAGGCUAAUGGACAGAGAAUUAAAGAGCUGGGGCGCAUAUUAAUCUGGACAGCCACGGGGCUGGACAGGGCCUGGGUGGGGCGAGGCGGGCGGCCCCUAAUGGAGCCAUAUUGACCAGGCCAGCGAGACCACAGCCGGGGUUGCAUGUCACUCUGCAGCCCGGGCCCCGGGGGUUGAUGGAUUUCAGUGUUUUAUAGGUUUGGGUUUAAAAAGAGGUGACCUCUGUUCUCCCCGGAUCAAUACACCCUUCUUAGCCGAGCGUGAUCGCCAAUAGUCCAUCAGUGCAGUCUCUGGAGAGGUUUGUAAAUAUCCGUGUUGGAAAUAUUAAUACCUGAUCGUAACUGGGGCCUCUCAACACUGUGAGGGGCCCGCCUCAGCACCCCCAUGACCGUCCAUGCGGGAGCCCUGGGGCCUGCCCUAAGCCUCCAGACACCAGAGUGCCAGGCCAAUGCAGACCCUCUCUCCUCCCUUCGAGGAAGCUUGAAGUCACUCGAAGAGGCCAACCGGCAUCCGUCACCAUGGACACCAGGUCACAGAGCUAACCUGCCUUUGUGGAGGAGGAGACCCAGUCCCAGAGAGGCCAGUGACCUGCCUGGGCCCACCCAGCAGAGUGGGGAUCCCCUCGAAGCAGUGGGAGCACCGACAUCUGGACCUUCCCACCUCUCUCUGAAGCCUGAGCUUCUACCUCUGCCCUGCAGCGCCCAGCAAGCCCGAGGAGCAGGACUGUGGCCUGACUGCCCCACUGCAGGUGCUGCCCUCCCUGCGUGCGUGGCACCCUGGGCCUUCCCUCCUGUAUGCUCUGGGUGGCCCUGGCCUGGCACCUGCCACGUCCUCACUGGCUCCAGGCACAGCCC